rnacentral:rRNA from 1 species
GGAGAAUCCCGUGAACCAUCAAGUUUCUGAACGCAAGUUGCGCCUGAAGCCAUUAAGCCGAUAGUGAGCUGCCUGGGCGUCACACGCCGUUGCCCCCCCCGGCACCUCCCUUGGAAGCGUCGGUGAGCGGACGAUGGCUUUCAGUAUGUCACCACACGUGGUUGGCACAAAUGUUUAGUCCCCGGCGACGAAGCCAUGACAAUCGUUGGUUGUCAAUCCUUGGUUGCUUGUUGUGCACUUUAAAUGUUUAGUCCCCGGCGACGAAGCCAUGACAAUCGUUGGUUGUCAAACCUUGGUUGCUUGUUGUGCACUUUCACCGAGCUCUGGGCGGCUCACGAUGCUCCCUGCUUUACUUCGGCGGAGCCUUCAACGCGACCCCAGGUCAGGCAGGGUUACCCACUAAAUUUAA